UACGAAGGGGGCGAGCGUUGUUCGGAAUUACUGGGCGUAAAGCGUGCGCAGGCGGCUUUGUAAGCCAGAUGUGAAAUCCCCGGGCUUAACCUGGGAAUGGCAUUUGGGACUGCAAGGCUGGAGUGUGGCAGAGGAGACUGGAAUUCCUGGUGUAGCAGUGAAAUGCGUAGAUAUCAGGAGGAAUACCGAUGGCGAAGGCAGGUCUCUGGGCUGACACUGACGCUCAUGCACGAAAGCGUGGGGAGCAAACAGG
rnacentral:rRNA from 1 species